AUUGAACGCUGGCGGCAGGCCUAACACAUGCAAGUCGAGCGAGCGGCGGACGGGUGAGUAAUGUCUGGGAACCUGCCUGAUGGAGGGGGACAACUACCGGAAACGGUAGCUAAUACUGCAUACCAUCAGAUGUGCCCAGAUGGGAUUAGCUAGUAGGUGGGGUAAUGGCUCACCUAGGCGACGAUCCCUAGCUGGUCUGAGAGGAUGAUCAGCCACACUGGAACUGAGACACGGUCCAGACUCCUACGGGAGGCAGCAGUGGGGAAUAUUGCACAAUGGGCGCAAGCCUGAUGCAGCCAAGCCGCGUGUGUGAAGAAGGCCUUCGGGUUGUAAAGCAUUUUCAGCGGGGAGGCGUUACCUGCAGAAGAAUCACAGGCUAACUCCGUUCCAGCAGCCGUGGAAAUUC
rnacentral:rRNA from 1 species